rnacentral:rRNA from 1 species
UACAGAGGUGGCGAGCGUUGUUCGGAUUUACUGGGCGUAAAGGGUGCGUAGGUGGUUUAGUAUGUCGGAUGUGAAAGCCCAUGGCUCAACUGUGGAAUUGCAUCCGAAACUGCUAAACUAGAGUGCAGGAGAGGAGAGCGGAAUUCUUGGUGUAGCGGUGAAAUGCGUUGAUAUCAAGAAGAACACCGGUGGCGAAGGCGGCUCUCUGGAAUGUUACUGACACUGAGGCACGAAAGUUGGGGUAGCAAAC